rnacentral:lncRNA from 1 species
AACAUGAUAAAACUUGGAUGAGGGUAGCAUGGGUUUUUAUAGAUGGGGAGAAAAUGCCAGUCGCUUCCGGUGAUUAACACAGCCCCAUAUGAUCUGCACCCUGUUUAUGUCUUCAAUAUUUUCUCCUGCCCCUACUCCUCUCAGGGUAGUACUCAGGGCAACUGGACUUGUUUGUUCCUAUAAACUAUCCUGAUUGCUCUUGGCUUAGAUUUAUCUAUGCCCCUUUCUUUACCUCCAAGCUGCCCUAUAUGCCAACCUUCUCAUUCUCAUCCUAGUUCUCUUUCCCAGUAUUUAUUCUUCAUCUAAUUUAUUUUUAUUUAAAUUUGAGGUUCUUUGGUCCUAUGUUCCAUUUCUAGACUUCUUUUUUUAAUAAUAAAUUUAUUUUUUAUUGGUGUUCAAUUUGCCAACAUACAGAAUAACACCCAGUGCACAUCCCGUCAAGUCAUUUCUAGACUUCUUUGUUAGGUGUUCCAUAACCUACUAUGUCAUCUUGGAGUAAUGAUUUCACUUACCUUGGGAAUUCUGUGUAUCUCCUGAAUUUUUUUCUUUAGAUUUUAUUUAUUUAUUUAUUUUUAAGAGACUGUGAGAGCAUGAGUGGAGGUGGGUGGGAAGGAGAGGGAGAAGCUCAGCAGGGAUCCUUAUGUGGGGCUGGAUCCCAGAUCCUGAGAUCAUGACCUGAGCCAAAGGAAGAUGCUUAACUGACUGAGCCACACAGGAGCCCCUCUCCUGAGUUGUUUUUAUUGAAGAGUCAGUGUCAAGCAAAGAAACUGCCAUACAGCAGGUGGUCAGUAAAAUUAGAUGGAUGGAUGGAUGGAUUUGAUAUUUAAAAAAAACCCUAUAUAUUAUUUUUCCCUUUCCUAACUCCCUUCCAAUUGUUUUAUUAGAAUAUCCAUCAGAUUUACCCUGGAAGAAAAAGUGAUAAUCUGACUGAGAUCUGAGUGGUUACAGAUGGAGAUUUGGAUGGAUCUGAAAGCAAGGAAUGGGAAAAUACAGCAAUACGUUGUGAAUCAAAUCUCAUCAAUGCAAAGAACAGGGAAAUGCUUCUUUUAUGAUAACUUAAGUAGGCCAGAAAACUGGAAAGGCACUGAAGAAAUGGAAUCUUCCUCGUGACUGCACAAGGAAGCCAAGCCUCCGAACUGCGAGCUGCGGGAUUAGCCCACCCUGCAACACUGUGCGCAGGGAUUCAUUUCUACCACUUUCAGAAAAUAAACUGUCUUCUUGUAAAGAGAGGGUUUUAUCA